rnacentral:rRNA from 1 species
UACGUAGGGCGCAAGCGUUGUCCGGAAUUAUUGGGCGUAAAGAGCUCGUAGGCGGCUUGUCACGUCUGCUGUGAAAUCCCGGGGCUCAACCCCGGGCGUGCAGUGGAUACGGGCUGGCUAGAGGCAGGCAGGGGAGAACGGAAUUCCCGGUGUAGCGGUGGAAUGCGCAGAUAUCAGGAGGAACACCGGUGGCGAAGGCGGGUCUCUGGGCAGUAACUGACGCUGAGGAGCGAAAGCGUGGGGAGCGAACAGG